rnacentral:sRNA from 1 species
GGGUUUUCUCCACACUGAUCUGAGAGCUGGGUGGCAUCCACACCUAAGAACAGCAGCUCCACCAAAUGAAGUCCCUCUCACGCAGCUCCACAGCGCUGUCUUGUGAAUGGACAGUAGCCACUUACAAACAAAUCAACAUUUUUAAAAAGAAAAUGUAAAGAGAUGGGGUCUUGCCAGGUCUUGGCCAGGCUGGUCUUGAACUCCCGGACUCAAGCAACCCUCCUGACUUGGCCUCCCAAAGUGUUGGAAUUACAGGCAUGAGCCACUGUGGUAGCCCUGAUUGUUUUAAAUAGAAGAAGGUAAAGUAUUUUCUCACAUAAAUUUCUGAAUGUGGGAGGCAGCCUACUGACAUUGCUUCACG